CUAGAAGUUUACAAUAAAUCUUGAUACCAUCAUCCAAAUGUUCCUUAUUUUAUUCUUAAUUUAUUUUAUUUUUUUGGUACUGGGAUCAAACUUGGGUCCUUGCACUUGAGAGGCAGGUGGUGGAACCACUGAACUAAAUCCCCGGCCUUUUUUCUUAAUUUAAUUUCUUUUGGUUUUUCCUGGAUUUUUGCUGUUCCAUGUCCAUUUUUGGAGCAGUUUGUCAAGCCCCCCGCCCCACCAAAAAACCAAAACUGUCUUGGGAUGUUUAUUGGAACCAUGACGAAUCUAUAGAUGAGCUGGGGCUGCCGCUUCUCUGGAUCCCAAUGGUAGACAGCAAAGAUUCUCCAAUUCUUCACACCCUCAGAAGUAUGAUUGUACUGCCUGUUGUUUUAAGCAACUCAGUUUUGGAGGUGGUUUUGUUACAAAGCAACAGCUGCCUAAUACAGAUCACUCAGCAACUCUGGCAUGAGCAACAGGAGACAAGAAUGUUCAAAGGGACAGGAGGGACAAGCAAAGGGAUAAUUCAACCUGGGCAACACCCUCCUGAAUCCAGGUGUCCUGGCUACCACUGGAGGUUCCACCCACCACAUCACUCCAAGUGGCCCCUCAGGACACCCCAAGGGUUGAAUUUACAACAGAAAAGAUUCACAGAGGCACCAGGAAGCCUGCCUUUCUUCUGACUCUACACUGUCUUUCCUGACCUGACUCCUCAGGCCUCUCCUACAGAAUGGAGGACUGAGUAAAGUCCAAGUGAAGAGGGCUGCAAAAGGCCACACCCUCUACAACCUCAGAUGGAGAACUGGGAGUCAGGGUAGGGGCUACAGAAGCUUCCCGGAUACAGGACGGGUAGGAGGAGACCAGAAAGGAGAUAUCAAAGAUUUUGUUUGCUUGCUUGUUUGCAAGGGCCAGGCUCCAGGAAAUGUGGGCUCCAUCAGAAAUGUUGAGUCUCAGGAGUCCCUGCCCUCCAGAGAGCUGCAUGGAGGGAAAGUGCACAAAGCAGACAUAGCCAGGCUCCCAGGACAGAGGCCUCCCCUGCUGGGGGUUGGGGACUAUGGGACCUUCAAUCCUUUGUGGAUGGAUUCUUGGGCUGGAAGCUGUACCCAGCAUGCCCCAGCCCUCAAGAGCAGGGACAACAUCAAGCAACUUCUGAUGAAGCUUGGGUCCUGGAGCUCCUUGACAAGGCAGGAAGAAACCUCCAAGCUUCAGAAGGUGCAGGAGAUCAGUUGACUCGCUGUGUCUGUCCUUGGGAUCCAAGUUCCUGGAAUGGCUGUCAGUGGUCACCUGUCUACUCAUCUCAGGAGCCACCUUUCCCCCACAGAUAGGAUCUUGGUGUCUAGACUUGACCUGCUGAGAUUCUAAUGCAGAAGAAAGGGCUGGGGCCCCAGGUUGCAAAUCAUGUGGCAGGGACCCCUUGUUCCCUUCAGUAAUGACCCAAGACCCAGGAAAAACCACAACUUCCCCCAUACUUGCCCCAAGGGACUUCUAGCAUCCUGGUCUCCAAGAAGUGAUGUCUCAUUUCCAUUUUAACCCAAACCCAGAUGCCUGAGAUGCGGACAUCAGUGGCUGAGCAAUGGGAGGAAGAGGACUCAGCAUUGGAGUUGACCCUACCUUGUAGAUCAAAAAGGGCAGCAGGGCACAGGCUUCUCAGGGUGACUGCUGAACUUGGGCAGAGUUCUCAGGGUCUGGGAGCAACAGUGGAGAAUGAAUGCUGACACAGUCGGCAGGAGCCUCUGCAUCUGGGUGGAGGACAGGAGACUCCAGGUGGCUGGGUACUGAGUGGUGAGGGCAGGCCUACUGGGACAGAGGCAGAGGGCAAGACCCCAUCCUGCCCUUUCCUUUCCCUCUGCACAUCCCCUGGUGCCUCACUUACCCAGGGGCUGGGGGUCUCCAAUGGCCACGGACCCCAACUGCGCAAGGUAAAUGCCACCCAGGCUAUGGUUCCUGAGAGGGCCAUCUUUGGGCCUGAGCAGUGGGAUAAAAGGCCAGGAGGUUGGAAGAGUGACCCUGAGUGGGGCACUGGGGACCAUUUUGCCAUGGCAUGGCACCCAGCCCAAGGUCUACAUUGACUGUCCCGCCCUUCUGCUCUGAGUUACUCUCUCGGGCUUCUUCUUGUCCCUUCUUGAGAAAAGCCCUUGGGAUCCAGGCUUCUUUCCUUGGGAUCCAUGGCCUCCAGGGCUGCCAGCACCUCCUUCCUCCAGCCCUGCUAUUUCUUCCCUGCGCUGGCACCACCCCAGCUUCCUGGAACCCUCUAGAUGUUGGCAUUGCUUAGGUCCCAUAGAGAGCUGGAUGUCUUUCUGCCCAGUAGGAGCCAUACCACCUGUGCUCCUUGCCUUGGUUACCCUGCUGCCCACAGUAACUCCACCCUAUCUUUGGUGCCCUUAAGUCCUUCUCCCAGGGUCUUGUCACUUCCUUGAUGACAAAUUACAGCCACUGCCCCUGAAAUGCCCCCUCCCCUGCUAUACACCUUGUCCAUUCACUACUAAACUGGGCCAAAUCCCUGUCAGUGGGCACCUGCGGCCUGCCUGAUGUCAUGCCCCUGUCUAUGAUGACCUCUGUCCCCAUCUCCAGCCCAAACCUGCUUGUCCUUCAGCUAGCCCAGCGCACCUCCCAGGGCCAGGCUGUCAGACAUGGCCAUAAGGUCCCAGCAAAGGGACAGCCCUAAGUUGACCAGACUUAGUAUUUUGUGGCCCUCCUCCCAGGUCACAAAGAAUAGGGUUCAGGGCUGUGGCACAAAAGCAGCCACCACCAUAGCUGACCAAUGGUACAGAAGGCAAAGAUGUGUUGGGCUGAACACUGGGGAAUUUGAAGGGGUGACAGAGUGAUUUGGGCAGAAGUGGCAGAGAGGUCAAAACUCAUGAGACAGCUGGAGAGGCCUCAGGAGACACAGGGAGUUCCCGGACUGCACUGGAAGCUAGAGAAAAACCCUGGCCAAGACAAGGGUGAGGCAGCCACCUGGUGGGAGAAUUGGGAGUCUGGAGGGGGUGGGAUGGCAGGAAGGGAAGUGGAGGGCAAGGCCAGAUGCAAAUAGAGGCAGGGACCCACAUCCUGGGCUCUGCUGCCUCCAGGGUCCUUCUGAACCUGGGAGUGAGGCUGAGGACCCAGCCAGCUUCCCAAGUCCCAAAGAGCUUGGAGGGCUCACCCCCCUCCCCAGUCUGAGUGCUCAGAGCCUACCCACUGCAUUCCUGGUCUCUCCUAUAGCCCCGGGGCAUCGCUGGAGGUGGAGCCCAGGAGCCGGAGUAGCACCAGGCCAGGCCCACCCCAGGGGAGCAGAGGGAGCAGGGAAGCUGAAGAGCACUGCCAGAAGGAACGUGUCGCCAUCUGCAGAGGACAAGGCACUGAGUACUGAGCAGGUGCACCACCUGGGGCCCUCCCACUUGUCCCCCAUUGGCGCACUUUCAGGGUGCACUGGGCCACUGUCCACACUGCCACCGAACCCGGCUUGUCACAGAAGGGUGGAGCCCAGCCUGGAGAGCAGUGGCAGUUAUGGUUGCUAUUGCAAACCUGCAGAGAAGAAGGAAGAAGGGUCAUGUCGAGUCAGGGAGCCCAGUGUCACUCCCACUGCUCAGGUGACUCACCCCAUGGUUGUGGCAGGUAGUUAGGCAGCGCUCCAGCUCCUGGGAGGAAGUGUUCUGGCAGCGCCUGUCCUGGCACACCUAUGGGCAAUGAGCCCAUUGGGCAGUGAGGGGGGACACUUUUGCCUAUGGAACUCAAGUGGCCAGAAGGGGUCAGGUGGGCAGGGCUCACCAUUCUAGGACCACACUGGGUGCCGGGCUCUACCAGGCCCAAGUCCAGCAAGUCCAGCUGGGCAUCGGGGAUCACCAGAGCUGCACGACAAGCCACCUGGUGGCCGUCUAAGUGAAGUGUGGACUCCACAGGCAAGAUGUGUGGCACUAGGGGGCUGGGCUCCCCGCCCUGGCACUGCAGCUUCCCGCACUGAGUGUCCCUGAGGGAGCAAGUGGAGAGUGGUCAACACCGCGAGUGUGGCCCUCCGGGAGCCAUGCGUAGCUGUUACUCCCGCACUGUGCUGCUCACCUCUGAGCACAAGGCAGGAAGCGGCCAGAGCCAUCCUGGCCGCAAUUCCCAGUGGCGUCUCCCGCGGGGUUCACCAGCUGGAAACAGGCCUCGGGGGCUGGGCGGGAGCCUGAAGAUCAAAGAGGGGCACUGGGGCAGCGCAGCCGAAGCCCCAGCCCGGUCCACGCUCUGAGAGCCUCAGUUCCUCAGCAGAUCCUGCCUACGGGAGGAAAGGGCAGACCCGAGGAGGGGCCAGAUGCUAGGGCACGCUCUCACCAGGCCCCCAGAGCUGUGCGCACUGCUGCUCCAGCGUGGGACACGCGCCAUCCAGGCAGUAGCCUUGGCCUCCCGCGCAGGGCAAGCCGUCCAGCAGGCCUGUCAGCACCACCUGGAUGUCCAGCGUCCUGAGGAUCUGAGGAGGGGAGGCUUGAGGUCCCUUGGAGGCGGCACCUCUCUCCCUGCCCUGCCGCACCACCUCUCCCCACCUCCCCAACCUGGUCUGCAUAACUGGCAACCUCCAGGAGACGCGCUCUUUGGUAUGGUUCAAGUUCCGGUGCUGGGUCAAGUACUGGGAAGGCAGAAAAACCCCGAGCGGGCGCAGUGAGGGGCUAUGCUGGCCCCGCCCCAGACCCGCUCAACUCCUGGGGCUGCCCUCACCAGGGGGUGGUCGGCUACUACGUAUAGCUCCAGGCCAGAGCAGAUCAGGUGCCCCUACCUAUGGUCCCCAACACAGCUGUGCAACUGCAACCCGCCCAGCUGCCUGCCCAGCAC
ensembl:lncRNA